AGAGCGCCUAACUUCAGGAUUAGAAGGAUAGAUAGAAGGAAAACCACUAAGGCUUCUAUGUAGCCUUAUUUAAAGUCAGCUUCCAAGUCCUAUGUUUUUCUUGCCUGUCUUCUGACCUAUUUGCACCACAAUUAGUCAAAUAUGGUUCAGUAUCACCACGCAUCCAGCACAGAGUUGCGCCGCGUCCUGGAGCUCUGGCACAAGCAGUUACGCACCAGAACUGUCAACAUGUCUCCACUUUGAACAGAAAGGAAGGAGAGAAGAAGAAAUCUUUCCUAUCAGAAGCAGCAGGGGUUGCUGCAGGAAGAAGAUAAUUCCCCCCUGCUGCUCUACUGACAGCCAUCGAACUCCACAGGAGGAAAAUGGCGUUUUAAUCAUGGAAUUGAAAAACACGGCAGUUCCCAAAUCUUCAUCUCACCUUGGUUGAUUUACAUACAUUUAGGACAAACUGGCUCACUGUGGAAUUAUGUUGUAUGUGGAAGAUAAGAGAGGAGCGAAGAAUUCAGGCUCUGGGAGCAGUGCACCUUAAGAACAUCUCUAAAUGAAUCUGAACACCGACAGUUUCUCAGGUCCUGGAAAAGGGGUUGUCAAGCCCCCCCCCCCCCAAGACAAAUUGGGAAUUUAAGAGCAGUCUCUGAAGUCCUACAGAACUGACAAACUACUCAUUUAGAGAGGCUCCACGCUGGGUGACUCCCAUGAUCUCCUUUUCUUUACAAACAGCAUUUCUUUUAAAAAGGCAUUGCCACCACUGCUGGUUUCAACACCACAAUCCCAGAGCAGCGGCAACAGAGCCCACAAAGGAACGUGGUCCUGAACAAGUCAACAGGCAUGGGUGAAAGGUCUGCAAGCAACGUCACGCUCCAAACCUCAACAGUUCACUUUUCUUUUGCACCAGUAUUUCUAUUUUUGCUCUGUGGCAAAAAUACCCAGAGGCAUUGGUUGGAGGGAUUUUUAAUCUAUGAUUUGUUUAACUUCAAAACAAUAAAUAAAAACUAAAAAUCAAUUAGAGCAG
rnacentral:lncRNA from 7 species